CUCAACCCAGGCCAGCUCCCAUGCCCUACUGAAGGUUUCCCAGAACGUGUUCAUGAGUCCUGGUCCAGACCACCUGACCUGUGCCUGGUAAAUACAGGACAUCACCUGCUCAUCCUGCAGCAUGAAAAUGGAGAGAGUAAGGCAAGUUGGAGCAAGGUAUAAAAUGCAACAGAGAGACUGCUUGGUACAAAAACUGUUGAAGCAACACUGUAAGUCUCUUUCCUCACUCCUCGAUCUCCUGGGGUGCUGCUCUAAUUGCCUUGCCGUGGGUACACCGUUGUUAGUGAGGGCAAAGAGAAGUCUUUGAUGAACAGCCGUGUGAGGCCAGUACCUCCUCUGUGCAGGAGUCCAGCCGAGUCAAAGGUCUUUGUCAAUUCCAAUCUGGUUGAGGAGCCUAGAUCUGUAGUACUGAAGGUCUUUCGAAGGAUACAUUUACAUCAAUGUGUCAGGCAUUUCUGUAUUGUUCUCAUAUGUCAAGCUAUCGAAUAGAGACAAGUUCAAACCUCUUACAUUUAAUUUAUGUGAGUAGAAAAAAAUCCACA